GUGUCUCUCCCGACCAUGGAGGGGGUCGCGGUGGUGACGGCAGGCAGCGUAGGCGCUGCCAAAACCCAGGGAGCUGCAGCCUUGCCGCCUCCGCCUCCUGUCUCCCCGCCCGCCCUCACCCCCGCACCUGCAGCGGGUGAGGAGGGACCGGCGCCUCUGUCUGAGACUGGGGCUCCCGGCUGCUCCGGCUCCCGGCCCCCUGAGCUGGAGCCGGAGCGCAGCCUGGGCCGCUUCAGAGGCCGCUUCGAGGACGAGGACGAGGAGUUGGAAGAAGAAGAGGAGCUGGAGGAGGAAGAAGAGGAGGAGGAGGAGGAGAUGAGUCACUUCUCGUUGAGGCUGGAGGGAGGCCGGCAGGACUCGGAGGACGAGGAGGAGCGCCUGAUUAAUCUCUCUGAGCUGACCCCAUACAUCUUGUGUUCCAUUUGCAAAGGUUACUUAAUAGAUGCAACUACCAUCACAGAAUGUCUUCAUACCUUUUGUAAAAGCUGCAUCGUAAGACAUUUUUACUACAGCAACAGAUGUCCAAAAUGCAAUAUAGUAGUACAUCAGACACAACCUCUUUAUAACAUAAGGUUGGACCGACAGUUACAAGACAUAGUGUACAAAUUAGUGAUCAAUCUAGAGGAAAGUAAGUUUCUUUUAUUACAUGGUUGUGAAUCCCAGAAUCUCUGACUCUAGUAGUUACAUUUUAAGUGUAAUUUAGUCUGUGUUUUAUCAUUUUUUAGGAGAAAAAAAGCAAAUGCAUGAUUUCUAUAAAGAAAGAGGUCUAGAAGUACCUAAACCUGCUGUUCCACAGCCAGUCCCUUCAAGCAAAGGAAGAUCUAAAAAAGUCCUAGAAUCAGUGUUUCGUAUUCCACCUGAACUUGAUAUGUCUUUAUUACUGGAGUUCAUUGGUGCUAAUGAAGGCACGGGACAUUUUAAGCCAUUGGAAAAGAAGUUUGUUCGAGUUUCAGGAGAAGCCACUAUUGGACAUGUAGAAAAAUUCCUCAGAAGAAAAAUGGGUCUUGAUCCAGCUUGUCAGGUAGAUAUCAUCUGUGGUGAUCACCUGUUGGAGCAGUAUCAAACUCUAAGGGAAAUCCGACGUGCAAUAGGUGAUGCAGCAAUGCAGGAUGGUCUGCUUGUCCUUCAUUAUGGUCUUGUGGUUUCUCCUCUGAAGAUAACUUGAAGAUUCUAAGCACAUUAUGAGGAGGGAAACAAAGGAGGCUUCUGCAGGACUGCAUCUCACCAAAGAUUUCCAUGAAAUGUAAUUGCUACCACUUUGCUGUUCAAGACAUAACUUACCUAUUUUUAGCACCAAGAAUUAUAGCGUUUAUAAGUACAACUUGGAACGAUGGAAUGCAUCUGUUACUAGAGACUAUAUAAAAAGCAGCCAAAGCUCAGGGGAAAUUUUUCAAAAAUUGAAUUUUAAAAUUUCUUAUGAUUUUAAAUACCUUGACGUUGAUUUUGCUUCCCAUCUUUGAAGUAAUCGGUUAGAUUUCUUUGUUCAGCCAUUUCAAGUUGGUGGUUGGGAUAUCUGCUCUCUGGGAUGGCAUCAGUUGGGCAGUCAUCUUUUUGGAAGAGAAGUGUGCUUUUGAAUGGAAGAUUCAAAGCCAGUCUUUGUUAAACUGCAGGGUGUACUCUCAAAGGCCAAAACUAUUGGCCACUUUUGUAUGUUGCCAGCAUAUUUUGAACCUGUAUCUUUUUUUAUACUAGCAACGCUACAAAGGAGAAGUUACUCAUUUCAAAAUGGAUGAAUUGUUAUUAUGUGUGAAGAGACUCUGAGUUUAUGGUCUGUGACAUAAACUUUCAGUGUAAUAAGACUUCUUCAAUACAUCUUCCAAUAAGGGGUGCUUCUUUGUGACAGUAUUUUUAUUUCUGACAUUCAUUUUAUUUGGGUACAUAGUGUGGUUGUUGAUACCUUGCAAUAGUAUUGCUUCUGAAAGUAAUAAAAAAUUUUAGGAG
rnacentral:sRNA from 1 species